AAAAAAUAGAAGCUAAACAUCUACACAAGUACUAUGAUUCAUUUUUGAUCACAUACAUUGCAUUCAACCUUUACAUUCACUAUUCUUUUACAUAUACAUGCUUUUCAUCAUUUCUUUUUACAUCACAUUGUCUUCUCAAAAUAGAAAAUUUACAUUCUUUUCGUUAACAUCUCUAAUUAUCAAAUACAAAAGAUGAUGUAAGGGUAUGCUACUAGCAAAAGUAUAAAACCCGACUCGGGUAGCCUCUAUCUACGGCGCGAUACCUUUACCGCAGUCGCUCGCCGGCUCACUUGGUCCCGGUUCUGUGGAAAUAGUGGGGUGAGAACUACAACGAAGUUCCCAGUGGAUUCGGCCCCAAUCUCACCGGCUUUCCCACUAGGUCUAACUCACGCAUAAUAGAAAGAAUAAGAUAAGUAACCAACUAUACAUAUGCAGCUAAUAUGCCUGAACAAUGCUAUUAAUA
rnacentral:lncRNA from 1 species